UACGGAGGGUGCGAGCGUUGUCCGGAAUCACUGGGCGUAAAGGGCGCGUAGGCGGCCCGAUAAGUAGGGGGUGAAAUCCUGCGGCUUAACCGCAGGGCUGCCUUCUAAACUGUCAGGCUUGAGCACAGUAGAGGCAGGUGGAAUUCCCGGUGUAGCGGUGGAAUGCGUAGAGAUCGGGAAGAACAUCAGUGGCGAAGGCGGCCUGCUGGGCUGUUGCUGACGCUGAGGCGCGACAGCGUGGGGAGCAAACAGG
rnacentral:rRNA from 1 species